AACGCACGAGACCUGCGGACCUGCGGAGGGAUCAUCAUUGAAUCAUAACUUUUUCCAAGUUUGGAGGGGGGAGGGGGAGAGGUUUCUCUCUUCUUCUUCUUUCUGGCUUGGAAAAACAAACAACUUUGAUACCCAAAAAGAGUCGUAUUCUCUUUCCUGCUUUUGUCUCUUUGGUGUUUUGCAGCUUUUCCGGCUUAUUUAUUUGGGUUGGUUUGCUGUGGGAGGCCGGAGAGAAGGAGG
rnacentral:misc_RNA from 1 species